GUACUGAAGCAUGUAGAGACAUGUUGCUAUGUCCUCACAAUGUGGCAGAAUCUCAGUGCAGGAACCUCAAACUGAAGAUUGACAAUGGUGAGCCCACACAGUAUUUUUUGUGCUCACGUAACUACAGAGCAGAAUGUAAGUUAAGUUAUAACAAAAUUAGUUCUUGUGAUUGUGGAGGAAGCAUGACUGAGAAGAAAAAUCUUUUAGUGAGUCUAGAUGGAGGCAUCUUUGUGAAAGGACUGGCCAGACUUAUAAUUGGUGAUAAUUUACAAGUGAUGCCACCAUUAACUUUGGAAGGCCUUUCUGUAUUUACAGAGCUUGGAGUCAGGAAUGGGAAUACUACUGAGGAGUUGACUUUCAAUGUAGGAUCUGAUGAGGUUUUGAAUUUGCUUAUAUGCUCGUUAGUAUCAAGGACACCUUUGACAGAAACUCUGCUGAAGAAUAAACCAAUAUGAAAGUUGAGCAAUGACAACCAAGGAAUAAAUAUUGAACCUCAAAUAGUUGUAGACGCAACAGAUCCUGAAGGAAACCUCUCCAUCAAGAUUAUAGUGAGCAAAUCUAAGAAGAUGGUUUGUUAUGCAGAAGUAGGAGAGGAUUUUGUGAAUUUACUCCUCAGUUUCCUAACUAUUCCACUGGGUUUUGUUGUAAAACAAAUGAGGGAUUGCGCAUUAAAAGGAUGCAUUAAUCAGUUGUUCAAGAGUGUCCAAGAUCUUGAUGAUUGCUACUUGAAGUCAGACUACCACAAAGAAAUGCUACUCGGUCCCAAGCUUGUACCUGGCUUUUGCUAUGAGAACCAUCUCUUAGGAACCGAGGAGGCCACAUAUUAUUAUGCACUUGGUAUGCUGUCUACUGAUAAAACUCUCAUCGCUUCUCGUAUUUCAGCUGCUAAGAAAACUAGGAGGUCAUAUUAUGGCGAAGAAAGUGCUCAGACUAGUAUUAAGUCAGUGACAGUCAUGGUCCCAAAUCCCACAAUGAUCAAGAUAAAAGUGCUGAAGGUCAAGGAUUUUUAGGAGGACCAGCGAUGUUCACAGUAACUGACAAUUUGAUCAUAAGACCUAUAUCUCUAAUGUUUGGUCUGUCUCUUCUGAAUGAACUGAAGGUGCCUUCGACUGACAUUGAAGUGAAAAUUGUGCAUGUGCGCAGAGAAGAGGCUUUGCGUCUUUUGGUGGCUUCUUUUGUUU